rnacentral:rRNA from 1 species
UACGGAGGUGCGAGCGUUGUCCGGAAUCACUGGGCGUAAAGGGCGCGUAGGCGGCUGGGGAAGUCGGCGGUGAAAGCCCGGAGCUCAACUCCGGGUCGGCCGUCGAGACUCCUCGGCUCGAGCUCACUAGAGGCAGAUGGAAUUCCGGGGUGUAGCGGGUGGAAUGCGUAGAGAUCCGGAAGAACACCGGUGGCGAAGGCGGUCUGCUGGGGUGAGGCUGACGCUGAGGAGCGAAAGCGUGGGGAGCGAACAGG